UGGUGGCAGUGGUGGCGGCGGUGGUGGCGGCGGUGGUGAUCGCCCUCCUCAUUUGCCAUUUCACACGCAAAGGACGGAGAUCCACCCACGACGUCUCUACUCCUGAAAACGAGUACGAGGAGCUGCGCCAAAAGGAGAUCGUCUACGACCACCUGGAGAGAGAUCGCAAGGCCACACGUGGAGCCGCAUCUCCACCACUCGGCCCCACGAUUUGAAGAACCUCACCGGGAUAUAAAUCAUCAAUUGAGUCUCACAGGACGGCUUUGGCUGUGUCUGGUAGUGCCAGAUAUAACGACACAUUUAUAUUUACGCGAUCUAACCCCAAAAAACCCUCUAUAAUGGAUACUAUUGGUCGCGAAAGACUCCGUGUUAAACUGACUUGUGAAGUUUAAUCAUAAUAAUAAUAAUUAAUUGAAUCCCUCCUGAGGAGAAAUUACCACGUGCCAACUAUUCAGCCCCCCAAGUCUCUCGCUCCAUCGUUGGCUGUUGGUUGAUGGGGAGGUUGCACGCACAUACAAUGUACGUCUUUCCGACUGUACGUAGACAACUGUUCUCAUCGCAAGUGCACUGUUGAGUCUUUGGGCAGUGUUGAGUCUAUGGGUAUUGUUGUGUCUAUGGGCAGU